rfam:Echinostoma caproni strain Egypt genome assembly, scaffold: ECPE_contig0002604
GGCCUCGUAGUUCAGUUGGUAGAGCGUGCGCAUACAAAUCGUAGGCGGUGUCCAUCCGUGGGUUCGAAUCCUACCGAGGCUA